GCUGCGAUGGCCGAGUGGUUAAGGCGUUGGACUCGAAAUCCAAUGAGAUAUUCCCGUGCAGGUUCGAAUCCUGUUCGCAGCG
rfam:Ciona savignyi cont_66231, whole genome shotgun sequence.